GACGGCUUAAAAGUGUGGCACUUCCUACCUCACUCUCUCUCUCUCCUGCUGCAUUGUGAAGAAACUGCUUGCUUCCCUCUCACCGUCUGCAGUUUCCUGAGGCCUCCCCAGCCAUGCGGAACUGCCAGAUGCAGUGCCUCAUGCCUGUAAUCCCAGCACUUUGGGAGGCUAAGGAGGGAGGAUUGCUUGAGAAUCAAGCCCAAGUUUUCCCUAUGGAUGAUGCAAAUUCAACUGCUGACUGACCACUGGGAACCCAAUCCAACAGCCUGGUCAGUUCCCUCGGUGCAGGCCCAGCGCCUCCCAGGCCCACCUUCCUCACUUCUGUCAAGCCUCAUGGCAGCAUCUGCCCACACAGGAAAGAGACAAAACCAUUACCAAUAAAAUUGUGAAGUUUUCCAAAA